UACGAAGGGGGCAAGCGUUGUCCGGAAUCAUUGGGCGUAAAGAGCGCGUAGGCGGCCCUGUAAGUCCGCUGUGAAAGUCAAAGGCUCAACCUUUGAAAGCCGGUGGAUACUGUCUAGCUAGAGUCCGGAAGAGGCGAGUGGAAUUCCUGGUGUAGCGGUGGAAUGCGCAGAUAUCAGGAGGAACACCAACGGCGAAGGCAGCUCGCUGGGACGGUACUGACGCUAAGGCGCGAAAGCGUGGGGAGCGAACAGG
rnacentral:rRNA from 1 species